rnacentral:rRNA from 1 species
GAUGAACGCUAGCGGCAGGCCUAAUACAUGCAAGUCGGACGGGAUUCAGGAGCUUGCUUCUGAUGAGAGUGGCGCACGGGUGCGUAACACGUAUGUAACCUACCUUUAUCAGGGGGAUAGCCUCUCGAAAGAGAGAUUAAGCCCGCAUAAAAUCACAGCACAGCAUUGUGUAAUGAUCAAAUAUUUAUAGGAUAAAGAUGAGCAUGCGGAACAUUAGCUAGAUGGCGGGGUAACGGCCCACCAUGGCGACGAUGUUUAGGGGAUCUGAGAGGAUGGCCCCCCACACUGGUACUGAGACACGGACCAGACUCCUACGGGAGGCAGCAGUAAGGAAUAUUGGUCAAUGGGCGGAAGCCUGAACCAGCCAUGCCGCGUGCAGGAAGACGGCCCUACGGGUUGUAAACUGCUUUUAUACGGGAAUAAACCCAGAUACGUGUAUCUGGCUGAAUGUACUGUAAGAAUAAGGAUCGGCUAACUCCGUA